UACGGAGGGGCAAGCGUUGUUCGGAAUUACUGGGCGUAAAGGGCGCGCAGGCGGCUGCUCAAGUCAGGCGUGAAAGGCCUGGGCUCAACCCGGGAAUUGCGCCUGAGACUGGGCUGGCUUGAGUGCGAGAGAGGUUAAUAGAAUACCUGGUGUAGUGGUGAAAUACGUAGAUAUCAGGUGGAACACCGGAGGCGAAGGCGGUUAACUGGCUCGACACUGACACUGAGACCCGAAAGUGCGGGGAUCAAACAGG
rnacentral:rRNA from 1 species